UACGGAGGGUGCAAGCGUUUGAUCGGAAUUACUGGGCGUAAAGCGUGCGUAGGCGGUUCGUUAAGUCUGUUGUGAAAGCCCCGGGCUCAACCUGGGAAUGGCAAUGGAUACUGGCGAGCUAGAGUGUGUCAGAGGAUGGUGGAAUUCCCGGUGUAGCGGUGAAAUGCGUAGAGAUCGGGAGGAACAUCAGUGGCGAAGGCGGCCAUCUGGGACAACACUGACGCUGAGGCACGAAAGCGUGGGGAGCAAACAGGG
rnacentral:rRNA from 1 species